rnacentral:lncRNA from 1 species
CUGCCCCCCACCACCCUCUGGGACUUAGCAGUGCCGAGAGCCUCCCCACAGGGAACUGACCAGAGGCUGGUAAGCAUCCCAGAGCCUCCACCUUCACCAGUCCUCCCGACAGCCCCACAGGUUAUAGAGCUGCCAUUCUGGCAAGCUGUUAAAGGGGCAACAGGCUACAACCAACCAGAUUCAACCACUGCUGACAUCAUAUGCCACAAGCUCUAUCCUCCGCUCCCUGUAAGUACUUCCAAACAAGGGGAAGGAGACUUUGGAAUUAAGCAGAGACUGUGCUCUGCCAGAGAGCCGGAGGGAAAGGCACCACUACAGAUGCCUCUUAGAGAAGUCCAACAACCCCCCGUGCAAGGGGAGGAUGGUAAUUACCAUCAAGCUCCUGUAGCUUAUUACUACCAUCCUUUCUCAUCAACUGACAUACUAAGAAGAGCCACCAGGUAUGACUAGAUUGAUGGAAACCAUCUUUCACACCCAUCGACCAACAUGGGAUGAUGUCAUGCAAUUAUUGACAUCUCUAUUCAGUACUGAGGAGAGAUAUAGGAUUAAUAUGGAAGCAAGAAAAUGGUUAUGAAAGAUGGUUCCAGAAGGUGUUGUGAACUCAGAAAGGUGGAUAGAGCAAGCCUUCUCCACUGAUAAACCUAAUUAGGACCGUAACACAGAAGAAGGGCAGAUUNNNNNNNNNNNNNNNNNNNNNNNNNNNNNNNNNNNNNNNNNNNNNNNNNNNNNNNNNNNNNNNNNNNNNNNNNNNNNNNNNNNNNNNNNNNNNNNNNNNUGUGUCCACGCUGUCUCAGGGGAAGUUAUUACGAAGUGGCCACCAGGACAUUUUAGGAGAAGAAACUUGGUUCUUGUGCAUGCAUAUUCUGCGUUCCCCCGGGAGGUGCCCUGUCUGCUGCGAAACCCCCGAUCCCUCAAACUAGUUAGGAUGGAAAGAAAAAAAAAGUGCAUCAGUGAGUACAAACUGGCCUUUCCUGGAGAAGCCUGGGACGCGGGGUAUCUAACCCAUCUGUGUUUUUAUCCUCAUCCAAUGAAGCCCGCCGGCACAAGAAUGACGUCUAAACCAUCAAUGAGAAGGUAAGAAAAAUGGGAGGAAGCGCCAUCUAAGGCAACUGUACUAGAAAAUGUGAUUUAAAACUUCGGAAAGGGAUUUGACAGAGUCUACGGGACGAAGAUGACGCCCCGCCGACUCCGCACUCUCUGGGAGGUCGAAUGGCCCGCAGUGGGAGUCGGUUGGCCACCAGAGGGUACUGUGGACUUAAAUUUAAUAAAGACAGUCUGUGCCAUGGUUACAGGAAAACCUGGACCCCCGAUCAGCUCCCACACAUAGACUCCUGGCUAGGGAUAGCCCAGGACACCCCCCCCCAAAAUGGGCCCUAUUUUAUAUCCAUAGUGGGGAAGGAAAGUGACCAAUGAUGAAGAGGAAAUCUUACAGGACCCAGAGGGGGAGGAACUUCCCGCCACCAUCCUGGAUGAGGACCCCAAGCAACCACCGCUCCUGCAGGGCCCAGAGCCGCCCCACAGGGAAUUGACCAGAGGCCGGUGAGCCUCCCAGCGUCUCCACUUCCCCCAGUCCUCCCGAGAGUCCCACAGGGUGUAGAGCCGCCAUUCCGGCAAGCUCCAACCUUAGUUGAAGGGGUAACAGGCUACAACCCACUGGAUUCAACCGCUGCUGGUGUCAUAUGCCCCAAGCUCCAUCCUCCACUCCCAGGAAGUACUACUGCACAAGGGAAGGGAGACACUGGAGUUAAGCAGAGGCUGCGCUCUGCCAGAGAGCCGGAGGGAGAGGCACCACCACAGAGGCCUCUCAGAGAAGCCCAGCAACCGCCGGUGCAAGGGAGGACGGUAAUUCCCAUCAAGCUCCUGUAGCUUAUUACUACCAGCCCUUCUCAUCAACUGAGACACUGACUGGACAAANACUGAGACACUGGCUGGACAAAAGCAUACCCCCCCUUACUCAGGAGAGCCACAAGCUGUGACUAGGUUGGUGGAAACCAUCUUUUGCACCCAUCAACCAACUUGGGAUGAUGUCACGCAAUUAUUGACAUCUCUCUUCAGUACUGAGGAGAGGCAUAGGACUAAUACGGAAACAAAACAAUGGUUAUGAGAGAUGGCUCCAGGAGGUGUUGCUAACCUAGAAAAGUGGAUAGAACAGGCCUUCCCUGCUGAUAAACCUUAUUGGGACUAUAAUACAGAAGAAGGGAGAAUUCAGCUAGACAGAUAUCGUGCAGCCAUUAUACAAGGGCCGAAGAGGGGAGCCCGUAAGCCAACGGACACGUCAAACCUGCUGGGUAAUUCAGAAGGGGAAUGAAUCGCCUUCUGAAUUUUAUGAAAGGCUCUUCGAAGCCUAUAGACUUCAUACGCCUAUAGACCCGGAAGCUGCGGGCUCUCAGAUUGUUGUAAACUCAGGGUUCAUCUCGCAGGCGUGCCCUGAUAUUAAACGAAAGCUUCAAAAGACAGAAGGGCUGCGAUCCAUGUCCAGCUCCCAAUUAAUUGAAAUAGCAGACAAAAGUGUUCCUGAACAGGGACACAGAAAUAGAAAAGAAAUAUGGAAAGAAAUAUAAAGAGGAACAAAAGAGAACAGGCUGGAGAUUUGCAAUGCUAGCCGCUGCACCAGGAAAGUCUAUCUUGGGCCCUCCGGGAAAACCGCCUCCUGCCCCAGGGACAGAACAGCCCUUCAACAGGUCCCAGCAAAGGCCCCGGGCCCCAUUACAGCCAA